rnacentral:rRNA from 1 species
UAACGAAUCUUCCGCAAUGGGCGCAAGCCUGACGGAGCAAUGCCGCGUGUGGGAUGAAGCGUCUCUGACGUGUAAACCACUGUCAGGGGUUAGAAACAAUGAUCAACCCCAAAGGAAGUGGCGACUAACUCUGUGCCAGCAGUCGCGGUAAUACAGAGGCCACAAGCGUUAGUCGGAAUCACUGGGCUUAAAGGGUGCGUAGGCUGGUCCGCAAGCGUCUUGUGAAAGCCCUCGGCUCAACCGAGGAACAGCAGGGCGAACUGCGGAUCUUGAGGCAGGUAGGGGUCGCGAGAACAGUAGGUGGAGCGGUGAAAUGCGUAGAUAUCUACUGGAAUGCCGAUGGUGAAGACGCGCGACUGGGCCUGUCCUGACGCUGAGGCACGAAAGCGUGGGGAGCAAACAGGAUUAGAUACCCCGGUAGUCCCUGAGCGGGCUGGCAAGGCGCAU